rnacentral:rRNA from 1 species
UGUAAAGUUCAAGCUCCGAUUAUGAGGGCGAAACCGCGAAUGGCUCAUUAAAUCAGUCAUAAUCUACUUGAUUGUUUAAAGUUUAUAUGGAUAACUGUGGUAAUUCUAGAGCUAAUACAUGCACAAAGGGGGCGACUCUUGUGUAAAAGCGAGAGAAGCUCUGCGUUUAUUAGACUAAGACCAAUGAUUGUAGCAAUACAAUCUUUUUCAAGGUGACUCUGAGUAAAUAAUGGGUGAAAGCCCAUGUUGCUGACCUGACAUCAAGGGGCCUCGGUCCUGUCAGGCAAAUCAAUCGAGUGUCUGCUCUAUCAACUGUGGAUGGUAGAAUAAUUGUCUACCAUGGUGGUGACGGGUAACGGGGAGUUAGGGCUCGACUCCGGAGAACAAGCCUGAGAAACGGCUAGUAGGACUAAGGUCUGCAGCAGGCGCGAAACUUACACAAUGCUAGAUUACAAUUAGCGAUGUAGUGAAGAAAAAUAACGAUGUACUUCCAUUUAAACAUGGUAGUACAAUUGGAAUGAGACGACUAUAAACCAGUUAGUCGAGUAACAAAUGGAGGGCAAGUCUGGUGCCAGCAGCCGCGGUAAUUCCAGCUCCAUUAGCAUACAUUAAAGUUGUUGCGGUUAAAAAGCUCGUAGUUGAAUUUUAGGCGAGCUCUAUUGGGAUGCAGCCGUAAAGGGUUGCCCAUUCUAUAAUGGGUCAACCUGGUUGUCAUUUGCCUAUAGGAGCUCGCUGUUUCGUCACUUAUUCGAGUGCGAAGCGGGCUGGAACGAUGGUCAUCCCUUAGGGGAUGCCUUGUUACAGCAAGUUUACCUUGAGAAAAUUAGAGUGCUCACAGCAGGCAGUUGGGGUGUAAAAACCUCUUUAUGCUUGAAUAAUGUUGCAUGGAAUAAUAGAAUACGGCCUCGGUUCUAUUCUGUUGGUCUUAUAGAACAACAAACAAGUUGGUUGGAGCGAUCAAAAGUUCGUUUGCGAGUGUGGCCAUAGUGGAUAUAGUGGUAUAGUUCGUGUUUUCUGCUUUAAUCAAUCAAGUUUUGACUUGUUACCUGGGGCCUUAAAAUCUCAGAGUCUUGUCGACUUGUUGCUCUUAAUUCAGAACCCCACUUGCCCUAUUGUAAGCUAUGGUCAUUUAAAGCACUCCUUAUUGGGCUAGCUUCUUAAUCAACUGAGGCAAUGGUUAAAAAGAAAUAGUCGCGGCGGCAUCAGUACUGCAUCGUGAGAGGUGAAAUUCUUAGACCGAUGCAAGACUAACUGAAGCGAAAGCGUUUGCCGAGGAUAUUUUCAUUAAUCAAGAACGAAAGUUAGAGGUUCGAAGGCGAUCAGAUACCGCCCUAGUUCUAACCAUAAACGUUGCCAACUAGCAAUUGGGUUGCGAUUCCUUUAAUCGAAGCAUAAAACACUUCGAUCAUUAUGAUCCACCCAGCGGCUCUCGUAGGGAAACCAAAGUGUUUGGGUUCCGGGGGAAGUAUGAUUGCAAAGUUGAAACUUAAAGGAAUUGACGGAAGGGCACCACCAGGAGUGGAGCCUGCGGCUUAAUUUGACUCAACACGGGGAAACUUACUAGAUUAGAACUCUGGAAUGAUUGACAGAUUGAUAGCUCUUUCUUGAUUCAGAGGAUGGUGGUGCAUGGCCGUUCUUGAUUCGUAUUCCGAAACGUCUGCUUAAUUGCGAUAACGAGUGAGACCUCACCCAACUAACUAGUCGUUUGGUGCGCUGUGGAACACAAAAGUCUCGGCAAGAGGCUGGCUAGGUGCUUCGGUAUUUAGUUAGUGCUUGUUUGGGAUGUUCUCUGCUCGCCAGCGGACUUCUUAGAGGGAUAAACGGUGUUUUAGCCGUAAGAAACGAGGCAAUAACAGGUCUGUGAUGCCCUUAGAUAUUCUAGGCCGCACGCGUGCUACAAUGGCGUGUGCAGAAAGCUUGUUCGAGGUUUGUCUAGAGAGAACUACUUGUUUGGUUGGUCGUAGGCAGCAAUGUUUGCGAUUGAUCGGCAGGAAAGUGACUCUAGUUAGCAGGCCGAGAGAAACCGCGGUCGAAAGAUCGUGGCAAUCAAAAAUACACGCCGUGAUUUGGGAUUGGGGAUUGCAAUUGUUGCCCAUGAACGAGGAAUUCCCAGUAAGCGCAAUUCAUCAUAUUGCGUUGAUUACGUCCCUGCCCUUUGUACACACCGCCCGUCGCUACUACCGAUUGGAAGUUUUAGUGAGGCAUUUGGACCUGCUAUCCAAAGGGGAGGCAACUCUUCUGGGACGGCGGGGAAGUCUGUCGAACUCAAAUUUCUAGAGGAAGUAAAAGUCGUAACAAGGUUUCCGU